rnacentral:rRNA from 1 species
AUUGAACGCUGGCGGCAGGCUUAACACAUGCAAGUCGAACGAUGAAACUCUAGCUUGCUAGAGAAGAUUAGUGGCGGACGGGUGAGUAACAUUUAGGAAUCUGCCUAGUAGUGGGGGAUAGCUCGGGGAAACUCGAAUUAAUACCGCAUACGACCUACGGGUGAAAGGGGGCGCAAGCUCUUGCUAUUAGAUGAGCCUAAAUCAGAUUAGCUAGUUGGUGGGGUAAAGGCCCACCAAGGCGACGAUCUGUAACUGGUCUGAGAGGAUGAUCAGUCACACCGGAACUGAGACACGGUCCGGACUCCUACGGGAGGCAGCAGUGGGGAAUAUUGGACAAUGGGGGCAACCCUGAUCCAGCCAUGCCGCGUGUGUGAAGAAGGCCUUUUGGUUGUAAAGCACUUUAAGCAGGGAGGAGAGGCUAAUGGUUAAUACCCAUUAGAUUAGACGUUACCUGCAGAAUAAGCACCGGCUAACUCUGUGCCAGCAGCCGCGGUAAUACAGAGGGUGCGAGCGUUAAUCGGAAUUACUGGGCGUAAAGCGAGUGUAGGUGGCUCAUUAAGUCACAUGUGAAAUCCCCGGGCUUAACCUGGGAACUGCAUGUGAUACUGGUGGUGCUAGAAUAUGUGAGAGGGAAGUAGAAUUCCAGGUGUAGCGGUGAAAUGCGUAGAGAUCUGGAGGAAUACCGAUGGCGAAGGCAGCUUCCUGGCAUAAUAUUGACACUGAGAUUCGAAAGCGUGGGUAGCAAACAGGAUUAGAUACCCUGGUAGUCCACGCCGUAAACGAUGUCUACUAGCCGUUGGGGUCCUUGAGACUUUAGUGGCGCAGUUAACGCGAUAAGUAGACCGCCUGGGGAGUACGGCCGCAAGGUUAAAACUCAAAUGAAUUGACGGGGGCCCGCACAAGCGGUGGAGCAUGUGGUUUAAUUCGAUGCAACGCGAAGAACCUUACCUGGUCUUGACAUAGUGAGAAUCCUGCAGAGAUGCGGGAGUGCCUUCGGGAAUUCACAUACAGGUGCUGCAUGGCUGUCGUCAGCUCGUGUCGUGAGAUGUUGGGUUAAGUCCCGCAACGAGCGCAACCCUUUUCCUUAUCUGCCGGCGGGUUAAGCCGGGAACUUUAAGGAUACUGCCAGUGACAAACUGGAGGAAGGCGGGGACGACGUCAAGUCAUCAUGGCCCUUACGACCAGGGCUACACACGUGCUGCAAUGGUAGGUACAGAGGGUUGCUACACAGCGAUGUGAUGCUAAUCUCAAAAAGCCUAUCGUAGUCCGGAUUGGAGUCUGCAACUCGACUCCAUGAAGUCGGAAUCGCUAGUAAUCGCAGAUCAGAAUGCUGCGGUGAAUACGUUCCCGGGCCU